rnacentral:rRNA from 1 species
UACGUAGGGGGCGAGCGUUGUCCGGAAUGACUGGGCGUAAAGGGCGUGUAGGCGGCCGAUUAAGUCUGGAGUGAAAGUCCUGCUUUUAAGGUGGGAAUUGCUCUGGAUACUGAUUGGCUUGAGUGCGGAAGAGGUAAGUGGAAUUCCCAGUGUAGCGGUGAAAUGCGUAGAGAUUGGGAGGAACACCAGUGGCGAAGGCGACUUACUGGGCCGUAACUGACGCUGAGGCGCGAAAGCGUGGGGAGCGAACAGG